GUUAGGGAGGUCGGCGGCGAGGGGGUGGGUGUAAAGAGGAGGUGGGGGAGGAGAGAGAGGAGAAGAGGGAGGAGCAAGCGCGCGGGUAGUGGGUCGCGAGCGCGCGAGCGGAGGGCCUGGUCGGCGGCGGCGCGGCGACCCCGAGCAGGUGGUGCCUAAAAGUUCCCCUUCCUCGUUACUGCCCCGAUCCGAGGUCCGCCGCAUGUGAAGUACCCUUCCGUUCCUUGGUCCUCCACUACCCCAGUCUAGACCGUCACCAUCUAGUCUCGAAUUCGGGCUCCGGCGCUGCCCCUUCCAGCUUUUUAUCUCUCUGGCCUACCUCCACGACCUCCGCUUCCUGGCGGGCAGCCGUUCGAGCUCGAUCUCUGCGUGUCAAUCGCAGUGGCCGGUAGUCUACGUAUCCUCGUACUCCGUCGCGAGGGCAGCGAAACACCACCUCGACGUAUCCUCCCCCUCCUCCGACCGCUAUCCCUUGGCCCGGCCCUCCUCCGUUCAUACUCCUAGCCCACGCAGUCCUUCGUCGAGACUUAUACCAAGGGCAUCUACUUCUAUUCCUCUUCCGCGAAUAAAGUGACCGGUUCACUCGACCCUCGGCCCCAGUAGGGAGAGUGGUGGUUAGCUUGUAUGAUGAAGUUGGUGGUACAGCUCGCUAUAUUUUCCCAAGAGACAAAGUAACUCGUUGCUGUGCUCUGACACGGGGGAGAACGAGGACCACGUACAACGACGGGAGGAAAGGGGAGACUGAACUGAACGAAAUGUAACACACUUUAACAAAUGGAAGUUGAAAUGUUUCGAUAUAGUUCAAGCGUUGACAUGAACCGAUGUGGAUUUUGUACUACGUAAAGAGAAGGUCAAAUAACUUAUAUAAAAAUACCUAACUUACAGGUUAGACCAUGGCAAGAUAGUGAGUAAAUUGAUGGAAUUACACAAGUGUUUUGAGGAAGACAUCGAUUCUAAAGAAACAUGUUGUGUAGGAUUAAUAACGAGAAUAAGAAUUUAGAAUAAAGUGAAAUAAGUCGACGUCCGACCCAAUUCUAACAAAAACACGGUCUUUGUCUGAUCCGUUACGAGAUUGGAACCGUCGUUUUUAACAGAUUUAAAGUAUUUAUUCCAUCACCUUAUAGAAACUUAUACAAGUAAAUUUAUAGAACUCAACUGGACAUACCCAACGAAGACACGUGUGAAAGAAACUAUACUUAAAGAUCCUCUCUUUAAGAAAGUACCAUUACUACAUAAUGGCUAUAAAUGAGACAAAGAAUCCGGAUAUCCAAAGAAAAACACCCUACGUCAAUACCAUGGUAUACUUAUACUAGCAGCUUAACGUAUAAUAACGGGAAAACCUGUAUCUGUACACGGUACAUCAUAUUGUAAAUAUUUCUUACAGAACCUUUAACGUUCAUCUACUAAUACCAAUGGGACAUUGAAAUCCUCAUUCUAUAUAUACUACUAUCUUAGAUUUCUACGAACGAUUAGAUAUUGUUAUUCUAGGUCAGUGUACGUUAUACAAAAUAAGUAUCUUUGUCCCCUAGUUAGACCGACUUUCAUUAGUAGAAUACCGCACCGUACUUCUCUACACACGUCUAGACUCUUUCUUCUCCUUAUUAGGUCGUCUUCUUAAAUCACUUAUUCUUGUUCAACCGUAAAGAGAGAACACUUGUGUCAGCACGGACGGAAAACUAAAAUAAUAAACACGAUUACGUUUGUACUUGAGAGAUAUCAAGAACUGCGUCGUGGCGAUUAAUGAGUUAAACGUUAUGUACUAAUAAAGAACCUCUUCAAAUCACGUACUUAAUCUUAAGACAUUUCAAUCAGAUACGAGGACAGAGAUCCGGUCCUAUCUAAAGAGUUAUAGUAAAAACCCUAACAAACUUGUGACUUGUUGUAACGGUCCAGUUGGUAAAGAGUACAGAAACAGUAUAGAUAUCCAUAACACGACAGUUAAAACAGUGGUCGGAGAAAGUGGCUGGGCAUUUAAUAGACAGAGCUCCAGAGCGAUUGACAUAACCCAAAUCUUUUUUUUUGAUAUAACCUGAAUAGAAGCGUAGUCGAUGAAACAUCCAUAAUACACGCAACAGUCCCUAGACUAUAGUACAUCAAGGUCCCUAAAAUCUUCCAGACCAGUCAGGUAACAAGAACGGUACACAAUGAAAAAUAGUAAUGACAAGAACGAAAUACCAACGGAAGGCUCACGUGAAAAUAAUCAAAAUUGUAUAAUUAAAAUUAUACGAACUAACUGGUAUAAUAUAUAAAGUGAAGUGGCCCCACCAACCACCUUCACAACCAAUUUUAUAAAAUAUGUCAACUUAUAAGAACUAAGUGAUAAAACAUCGGACGAGAAUCAACAUAUCAUAAUUAAGAAUUUUGAAUUAGAGAAUUUUAAUCAAUUAAAUCACUCAACAAAGUGACAAAAGUUUAUUCAUCAAAGUCGGGAGUGAUACAGGACUUUGAAUAAGAAUGACGGAAAAUACUGAAUUUACAUUGAUAACCGUAUAUUAGAGUACAGAAUUUUAGAAUCAACUCUUACAUAAUUUUCAAUAUUCUAGACCUCAAAGGUGAUAUAAAGUAGAUCGCCAUGAGGGUUAUUAACUUAUAAUUCUCGUGUUUGCUAGUAUACGACAUGUAAGUCAAUGAGCUUUUACGAAAAUAGAACGUCCGGUCAAAAUGUAUAUGAAAAAGUUAUUACUCUACUGAUACUUGUCUCAUAGUUCAAAAAACAGAACCGUAAUGACGGCGGCACAUGCCUACCAAUAAUUUUCUUUUUCCUAAGUUCACCGUAUGGAAGUGAACUGUCUACGAAAUUGGCGUUCUUGACAACAAUAAAAGAAAAGGAAAGGACGUUACUACCAUCAAACGGAAACUAAGAUCUUCAGCGUUUCCUCACUUCCCAUCUCUAAAGGUAACAGCAACUUAACCACCCUAACAGUGGUUCAAUCACAACGUCUAACAAAGACAAAAUCUCGUUCUUCGGUUUAGUAACAAGUAACAUUUAGAACUUUUUGAACAAAUGACAGUGAAGAUAUAGAUAAUAUUUGAAAGCAAGGACCACACCAUGAAUGGUUAGAACCAAACGGGAAGGUAACGUCGUCUGGUUAUACAGGAACAAAGAAGGUUUUUUUUUAGAGUAAAGUUCAAACG
rnacentral:rRNA from 1 species